UAACAUGCGCGUUGGGCCCUAAAACACCCUCAGACCCAAGUGAUGGGCAGUUCAAGAUUGCUGUCGUUCAGGAAGUUAAUAACCACAUCCCCUGUUGCAGUUGUGAGCUACAAAUACCCAGAGCAAUACUAGGCAAUAAUAGGCAACACUUACACUGGAAUUCAUACAGAAAGGCGGGAUUUUCUUCAACGGUCGACAUUCAGGAGUGGCAAGAAGAACAAUUCACAACUGUGCAUAUAUUCACUCUGGAGUAAGCUUACCAGGAGGAGACAGACCGAGAUUUAGACUUCAUUCAAAGGUAUUUAAGAGGAACAAAGAAGUUAAAAGGAAAAGUGCCAUCUAAAACCACAGGGCAAAUGGCACAGAAGAAACUGGUUGAAGUGAACCCAAGUUGCCACUGUCGUGGAAAUUCUCAAAGCUAAUCUGACUUCACCACAGACAACUCAAACAACUAAAUAAACAGUAUCUCGGGCUAAUUCCCUGAACUCCCCGAAUACUUGCAGUACAAUCCAAAGAAAUACUGUAUCUCGAGCUAAUUCCCAGAAUUCCUUGAAUACAAUAUAAUCCAAUACUUCCCUGAAGUAUGGUGACGGUGUCCCAUCAAGAAGCUACUAUCACUACCUCAAUCACACAUGGCAUGCAGGUCUUCAGCAUCUAUACACUCUCACCGCCCUUCUCAGCUGUACACUGUUACUUCAGCCCGAGGACGGCUUUAUAGUCUUCCAACACUAUCACUGUCUUUGUGGUGGUCUUUUGAGCGUAGAGUCUUUAGUACUCCUAUUCCUCAGCUGCGCAGCAUAUACCAGACACCACUCCCUAGUUGCUCUUUGCAGGAAUGUUUUAUUCACGGCCGGGAACCCACUGAUGACAACAACCAAGAGAGACUCCCUGAACAGAAAGAUACAUGUACAUUUAUACCUUGUAGUUGAGUAAAAAUCAAUAUCACUCAAGUCUUCUUCACUGUAAUUGGUUACACUGAUCUGGUCAUUGGUUUGUCAUAUGACUUAGUUCUACUGUUUAGGCACUUUUUAGAUUAUUUAAUCAUGGAGACAUGGUCUUUGAUUUGAGCAUCACUUAGACUGUACUUUUCUAAACAAGUUUAUGUUGAACACACCCUUUCAACAUAUUCUAAGGCCAUUAA